CUCAUUUUUCUCUUGUCCAUGUUUUUUUAUUGCAGAUUCAGUUAGAAGGAAGCUGCAUUUCCACUUGGCUGUUGUAAAAGCAAGUUCCAGCUGUUUUUGUCCAGUGCUGAGUGCUGGCAGUGAGUUUCCAAUCAAGAGGAAUUUUAGUCUCCCAGCCUAUGGCACCAUAAGCAGGAAUCAGUGAAACCAGGAGAUCCUGGAGAUCGUGCUGCGGUCAACAUGAACCAGCCCCACCACAGCAGAGCAUCCAGAUCCUUUACUGCUCAAAAGGUGCAUGUAGGCUCGGCCAUCAUCGGACUGGUUUGAACACUCUGACAUCAAUAAAUUUCUUCACUCGCUUCUCCGUUUCAAUUUCCAUCCGACAAUGCCUGACUAAAAAAAAAGAUAACAUAUGUCAUCCAACAGUGUUUGCCAUAAUUAAACUCUCCAUGAACAUUUCUUUAAACAUGAUAAUGUGCACCUUCUUUCUAAUUUGGCCAUUAUUCAGGCUUGUCAACUUGCAGUUAUUCAGAGCUUAUCUCCCGUGUGCACGAAAAGCCAUAUUUGUCAUGGUGGGUUUGGUGUCCUCUGAGCUGGUGUGAAGCGUGUGCCGAUGACUCUCUUCGAUACAGAUGUUCCGUGCUGUCAAGACUCUCACUCUACGCAAUUCCUCACUGAAAGGACACACUGUCA
rnacentral:lncRNA from 1 species